UUUCCUAGGUAGUUCCAGAUAGAUAGGGCUGACAGGCAGCAUCAUCAAACUAGCAAGAGCAUCUCAGCAGGAAGAGGAAAGAAGAUUCCACAUUUGGUUGCCAAAUAUGCCGAGGAUCUUGAUUUCGUGGCAAUGAACAAGAAAUUUAACAAGGACGAAGUGUGGGGUGAGCUUGGCAAUCAUAGCAAAGCUCACCUAAAGACAAAAGCAAAUGCUAGUGAUCUUCCUGCUGUGGAUGCUGAGGUUGUAGAUGCUGCAAUGAAAUUGGGUAAGAAGGUGAGUCAUAUGUGAGCUUAAAGAGUUGACGGUUCUCUUCCGUCCUUUCUUUUGAGAUGGUGAUGUCUUUUCCUUUUGGAUGGUAGCCUGGUUAUGUGAAGGAUGACUUUUUCGACUCACUUUCGACCGGUCCACCUGGGCCAUGGAAGCCGAAAAUAUCUGAACAAAGGAAGUUGGAUAUGGAGGUAUCACUUCAUGAUU